CAGGCUUAACACAUGCAAGUCGAGGGGCAGCAUCAUCAAAGCUUGCUUUGAUGGAUGGCGACCGGCGCACGGGUGAGUAACACGUAUCCAACCUGCCGACAACACUGGGAUAGCCUUUCGAAAGAAAGAUUAAUACCGGAUGGCAUAGUUUUCCCCGCAUGGGAUGACUAUUAAAGAAUUUCGGUUGUCGAUGGGGAUGCGUUCCAUUAGGCAGUUGGCGGGGUAACGGCCCACCAAACCGACGAUGGAUAGGGGUUCUGAGAGGAAGGUCCCCCACAUUGGAACUGAGACACGGUCCAAACUCCUACGGGAGGCAGCAGUGAGGAAUAUUGGUCAAUGGACGAGAGUCUGAACCAGCCAAGUAGCGUGAAGGAUGACUGCCCUAUGGGUUGUAAACUUCUUUUAUACGGGAAUAAAGUUAGCCACGUGUGGCUUUUUGUAUGUACCGUAUGAAUAAGGAUCGGCUAACUCCGUGCCAGCAGCCGCGGUAAUACGGAGGAUCCGAGCGUUAUCCGGAUUUAUUGGGUUUAAAGGGAGCGUAGGCGGGUUGUUAAGUCAGUUGUGAAAGUUUGCGGCUCAACCGUAAAAUUGCAGUUGAUACUGGCGACCUUGAGUGCAACAGAGGUAGGCGGAAUUCGUGGUGUAGCGGUGAAAUGCUUAGAUAUCACGAAGAACUCCGAUUGCGAAGGCAGCUUACUGGAUUGUAACUGACGCUGAUGCUCGAAAGUGUGGGUAUCAAACAAGAUUAGAUACCCUGGUAGUCCACACAGUAAACGAUGAAUACUCGCUGUUGGCGAUAUACAGUCAGCGGCCAAGCGAAAGCAUUAAGUAUUCCACCUGGGGAGUACGCCGGCAACGGUGAAACUCAAAGGAAUUGACGGGGGCCCGCACAAGCGGAGGAACAUGUGGUUUAAUUCGAUGAUACGCGAGGAACCUUACCCGGGCUUAAAUUGCAACUGACUGAACCGGAAACGGUUCUUUCUUCGGACAGUUGUGAAGGUGCUGCAUGGUUGUCGUCAGCUCGUGCCGUGAGGUGUCGGCUUAAGUGCCAUAACGAGCGCAACCCUUAUCGAUAGUUACUAGCAGGUCAUGCUGAGGACUCUAUUGAGACUGCCGUCGUAAGAUGUGAGGAAGGUGGGGAUGACGUCAAAUCAGCACGGCCCUUACGUCCGGGGCUACACACGUGUUACAAUGGGGGGUACAGAAGGCAGCUACACGGCGACGUGGUGCUAAUCCCGAAAGCCUCUCUCAGUUCGGAUUGGAGUCUGCAACCCGACUCCAUGAAGCUGGAUUCGCUAGUAAUCGCGCAUCAGCCACGGCGCGGUGAAUACGUUCCCGGGCCUUGUACACACCGCCCGUCAAGCCAUGAAAGCCGGGGGUACCUGAAGUACGUAACCGCAAGGAGCGUCCUAGGGUAAAACUGGUGAUUGGGGC
rnacentral:rRNA from 1 species